UUUGUUCAAGGAGGCAAAUAAAAAGUAUGGGAAAACAUCAAAAGGAGAGGGAUAUUCUGAGAAGAAAAAGGGCUUUUACUGAGUAUCAGAAAGAGAAGUCAUCAGUGCCUCUAGCCCAUACAUCUCGUGGAGCUGCUGACCUUCAAUCCAGGCAAACUCUGCUCCUUGCUGAGGUCAGAAGUUGUAUUUGCUUUUCGAGAAAUGCCUCAGCGCUGCGGUCUCCUUUAUCCAAAAGCAAUAACCUCAUGUUUCUUGGGGAGGAGAAGGGAAGGGAAGACAAUUGCAGGCUGAAACUGGUAUGGAAUAGCUGCUUAAACACAGCCCCCUGCACUUGCAAACCUCCUAAUCACAGCUGGGUAAGGCAGAGCUGCCAAGUCCCGCUGUCACAGGAGCAGGGCUGCUCAGCAAUGGUUUCAUGCCAACCGAUGACAAAAGCCAAGGAACCAGGGGUUCCUGACAUUAUGGCUAGAUGCUUAACCAGCAGAAGCUGCUCACCCAGGAAGCCCAGUGCUCUGGAGAUGGAUCCUGGGCUGAAAGUCCGAUCCACAGCCUGGGUCCUGAUUGCCCCAAGUGAAGAAGGGAGAGGUUGGAGGCUCGGAAAGCAGCUUAAAAGCUGUCAGGUGUAGCCCUGGAGGAUGAACCCACACGAGAGGCUUGGGGAAGCACAGAUGUGCCUUGGUUCAAACUGCAAAGAAAUGUGGGUGUUUCCAACUGGGAAAGCUCAGAACAGGUUUUGGCAUCUGACAUGGAUCCAUCUGGAGUUGCUGAUGGAUGGUAGGGACCUGGGGGGUCAAAAGAGCAUGCUGAAGACAAAACCUCCACCAACAGCUGUCAGGCAUCACUGUUAAUGAAGGAGAAGAGAAGCAAAGAUUGUAUCUGUAUAGCACAGACAGAGAACCAGCUUAUCUUGAAUAUUAAGGCCACAAGUUAAAAUAGGGUUUGUUAGCAGAAUAAAAUCAGCGAGCCCCUCCAACAGUGGGCCCAGUGUCAGUCCCAGGGGAGCUGUGGCCGCAGCUGUGGUGACGUGACACCAGUGUGGCUGAGCACCGGCCAGGCUGGCAAAGUCCCUCGUGUACGAAACGCCAAACACGUCCACCUCGUACUCAGAAGAUAAAGCACAUGCUGGGGGUUGCACAAACAACAAGGAACAGGCACACGCGGCUGCGUUAAUCACUUACAUGUGCCUAUUAGUGAAAAAGGCUAAAAGGAAGGGAAAG